rnacentral:rRNA from 1 species
UAGCCUUGACAUUGAAGAAACACACUAGAGAUAGAGUGGUGCCCUUCGGGGAAUCUGAAAACAGGUGCUGCACGGCUGUCGUCAGCUCGUGUCGUGAGAUGUUGGGUUAAGUCCCGCAACGAGCGCAACCCUCGUCUUUAGUUGCCAGCAGGUUAAGCUGGGCACUCUAAAGAGACUGCCUUCGCAAGGAGGAGGAAGGUGAGGACGACGUCAAGUCAUCAUGGCCCUUAUGGCUAGGGCUACACACGUGCUACAAUGGGGCGUACAGAGUGUUGCGAUACCGCGAGGUGGAGCUAAUCACUUAAAGCGUCUCUCAGUUCGGAUUGGAGUCUGCAACUCGACUCCAUGAAGCUGGAAUCACUAGUAAUCGUAGAUCAGCAAUGCUACGGUGAAUACGUUCCCGGGUCU